AUGUGUCUAAAUCAGAGACUGAAUAGGUAUGCACAUAUCAUCUGCAUAGAUAACUCCCUGGGGAAAUCUGCUCCUUGGAGAGGAAUCCCAGAUCCUGACAGGAAACCUGCCCAGAACUUCCAUCUGCACCUUCUCCUGGGCCUUCAAGACAGAAGUGGUGAGGAGUGUGCACCCCCUGGUGGUCCUGAUCCCCUUAACAGAGAGGUUUGUGUCUGGGCUCACACUGAGGUCGACUCACUGUGUCCUUCGCACAGUAAUACACGGCUGUGUCCUCGGCUCUCAGGCUGUUCAUCUGAAGAUACAGCGUGUUCUUGGCGUUGUCUCUGGAGAUGGUGAAUCGGCCCUUCACAGCGUCUGCAUAGUAUGUGCUACUUCCACCACUGUUAAUGUAUGCAACCCACUGCAACCCUUUCCCUGGAGCCUGGCGGACCCAGCUCAUCCAAUAGCUACUGAAGGUGAAUCCAGAGGCCACACAGGAGAGUCUCAGGGACCCCCCAGGCUUCACCAGGUCUCCCCCAGCCUCCACCAGCUGCAUCUCACUCUGGACACCUGAAGACACAAGACAUCCUGGUCAGGAAACUGUCCCACAUCCUCUUUUUCUCUCAGCAACCUCCACUCCCAUCCUCAAGGUCUCUUUUUCUCCAUGAAUUACCUUUUAAAAUAGCGACAAGGAAAACCCAGCUGAGCACAGACUCCAUAGUGGUUUGUCUGUGUUGUGUCGUGAGCACUGAAUGGUGUCACCUGGGAUCCUGGGGCUGGGGCUCCUCUCCCAGCUGCAGGGUCAGGCUGGCUGGUUUAAUCAGCAGAAAGGGCCCUAUUUGCAUGUACUUGAAUAUAUCAUCAGCGCCAGACCUCCAGUUGGUUCUUUACAAGUUAUUAACAAGGAUUGCUUUAUAUCUCUAGGCCACUGUCUAAUGUCUUGUGACAUUAUGAAGUGUUCAAAUCUAUGAAAAAAUUACCUUUUCAUUUCCUUAUGAGUUUUUAAAAAUCUCUCAUCAAUGUAGGUACUUUUAGUGGGUCGUAUUUUGCCUCCUUCAGAAUAUGUAAUCCUACAUAGUAUAUUUUUAAAACUGGUGUCAAUGUAAUAAGGUUUUGUUAAUUGCCUUUUAAAUUCUCUAUUGUUAUAGAUGCCUGGGGGGCUCUGCCUUCUGCUCUGGUAGUAAUUCUGGAGUCCAGAGAUCCAGUCCCACAUCGGCUCCCAGCAUGAAACCUUCUUCUCUCUCUGCCUGUGUCUCUGCCUCUCUCUGUCUGUGUUCUCAUAAGUAAUUAAAUAAAAUCUUUAAAAUAUAAAUAAUGAGUUGUUACUGUGGAGACUUGAAUUUUUUUGUCAUUUACCUGUUGAAGGACAUCAUGGCUCCCAUCACCCAUUCACCCCCCAUCCUCCCCUUCUAAGAUCCCUAGUUUGUUUCCCAGAAUUAGGAGUUUUCCAUGUUCUGUCUCCCUUUCUGAUAUUUACUACCCAUUUCUUCUCCCAUUCCCUCUAUUCCCUUGCACUAUUAUUUAUAUUCCCAAACGAGUGAGACUAUAUAAUGUUUGUCUUUUUCUGAUUGACUUAUUUCAGUCAGGAUAAUACCGUCCAGUUCCAUCCAUGUUGAAGCAAAUAUAGGGUAUUUGUCAUUUCUAAGGGCUGAGUAAUAUUCCAUUGUAUACAGGUGCACAACAAAGGAUACAGUCAGCAAAACUAAAAGACAACCUACAGAAUGGGAGAAGAUAUUUGCCAAUGACGUAUCAGAUAAAGGGCUAGUUUCCAAGAUCUAUAAAGAACUUAUUAAACUCAAUAGCAAAGAAACAAACAAUCCAAUCAUGAAAUGGGCAAAAGACAUGAACAGAAAUCUCACAGAGGAAGACAUAAACAUGGCCAAAAUGCACAUGAGAAAAUGCUCUGCAUCACUUGCCAUCAGGGAAAUACAAAUCAAAACCACAAUGAGAUACCACCUCAUACCAGUGAGGAUGGGGAAAAUUAACAAGGCAGGAAACCACAAAUGUUGGAGAGGAUGUGGAGAAAAGGGAACCCUCUUACACUGUUGGUGGGAAUGUGAAAUGAUGCAGCCACUCUGGAAAACUGUAUGGAGGUUCCCCAAAGAGUUAAAAAUAGAUCUGCCCUAGGACCCAGUAAUUACACUGUUGGGGAUUUACCCCAAAGAUACAGAUGCAAUGAAAUGCCAGGACACCUGCACCCCGAUGUUUCUAGCUGCAAUGUCCACAAUAGCCAAACUGUGGAAGGGGUCUCGGUGUCCAUCGACAGAUGAAUGGAUAAAGAAGAUGUGGUUUAUGUAUACAAUGGAAUAUUACUCAGCCAUUAGAGACGACAAAUACCCACCAUUUGCUUCAACGUGGAUGGAACUGGAGGGUAUUAUGCUGAGUGAAGUAAGUCAAUCGGAGAAGGACAAACAUUAUAUGUUCUCAUUCAUUUGGGGAAUAUAAAUAAUAGUGAAAGGGAAUAUAAGGGAAGGAGAAGAAAUGUGUGGGAAAUAUCAGAAAGGAGACAGAACGUAAAGACUGCUAACUCGGAGACAGAACAUAAAGACUGCUAACUCUGGGAAACAAAACUAGGGGUGGUGGAAGGGGAGGGGUGCGAGGGGUGUGGGUGAAUGUGUGAUGGGAACUGAGGGGGGCACUUGAUGGGAUGAGCACUGGGUGUUAUUCUGUAUGUUGGAAAAUCGAACACCAAUAAAAAAUAAAUUUAUUAUUUAAAAAAAAGAAAAGAAAAGAAAAAGAUUUUCCUGGGUUUCUGGUUCAUUGUUCAUUCCUACUUGCAGGGUUCAUGCCCAGAUGUCCUGCAUGCUCCCUAGAAUGUUCUGAUCAGUGCUUCUUUAAUACCUGUGUCCCCGUGAUGAGUGUAUAGGGCAUCACAUUGUGGUUGACGUGAAAUUCCCUGAUAGAUCCUGGUGGGGAUUAUCCUCUCCUGUGCUUAUUCAUAUGUCAGUACCCUCUUGUAUAACAUGUCCACACAAGGCUCUGCCUGUUUUAUAGAUGAUUUUUUUCUAUUGAGUUUUGAGGAUUCUUACGAUAAUUUGUGCAAGUUUUCCUUGGUCUGUAUCUUGUAUUUCAUUACUUUGAUAAAUAUAUGGUUUAAAAAUGUAGUUGAUUUUCACAAAGUGUAUUCUUAAAAUUGGUGUUAUGCAUGUUGACUUUUUACCUAUAACAUUCCAAUUUUAUAAUUAAUAAGUUGCCUUAAGAGUUUCUACAUUGACAAUAUAUUGAAAAGUCUUGUUUUUUUUUUUCCUGGUCUCCUCAGUGUUGACCUGUUCCCUAAUUGGUCUCUAGUAACUCAGGGUUUAUAUGUUAUAUGAAUAUAGACUCUUGCAAUUGAUUUUCAUAGUGCUGUUUUCAUAAACUGUAGCAAUUCUGUUCUCAUGCUCAAAUGCGAACUUGUGAUUUCAUGGCAGAUGCUCUGUUGUAUCUCAUCAGGCUGAUUAUUCAUCACGUUGAAUAAAUAUGCUUCUGGUGUGAAACAUAAUCAUUUAUUUUUCCAGUUGCUGGAAUUUCUAUACAUCCUCCUGCUCUUCAGAGACAGGUUGUGGUACUUAGCAUCCUCCCACCAGACGAUGGAAUUGACUCCAGUGCAUUCCCCUGAAGGGUAAUGGACCCAUGUGUCACCCACACUGACAUGUGCAGUGAGAACCCAGAGAAGGAGCAGGCGAGUGUAAGGGUCUGCCUGGGUUUUCCCAGCCCAGAUCCCGACUC
rnacentral:lncRNA from 1 species